rnacentral:rRNA from 1 species
GACGAACGCUGGCGGCGUGCUUAACACAUGCAAGUCGAACGGAAAGGCCCUGCUCUUGUGGGGUGCUCGAGUGGCGAACGGGUGAGUAACACGUGAGUAACCUGCCCUUGACUUUGGGAUAACUUCAGGAAACUGGGGCUAAUACCGGAUAGGAGCUCCUGCUGCAUGGUGGGGGUUGGAAAGUUUCGGCGGUUGGGGAUGGACUCGCGGCUUAUCAGCUUGUUGGUGGGGUAGUGGCUUACCAAGGCUUCGACGGGUAGCCCGCCUGAGAGGGUGAACGGGCACAUUGGGACUGAGAUACGGCCCAGACUCCUACGGGAGGCAGCAGUGGGGAAUAUUGCGCAAUGGGCGGAAGCCUGAUGCAGCAACGCCGCGUGCGGGAUGCCGGCCUUCGGGUUGUAAACCGCUUUCGCAUGUGACGAAGCGUGAGUGACGGUAAUGGGUAAAGAAGCACCGGCUAACUACGUG